CGCCUCCCAGCACACAACGCGGAAGAUUAAAUGUUUAGAGUUAGUUUAGCUCGGGUCACGGUCACGCUGGAUUAUCCGCUUCCAGUCCCUCGUCAUAGUUCGUUUCUUGUUUUGUUUAUCGACCCUGUUUUCCGUGACCACGACCUAGAUUCCUGCCUUGUCCAGUGUAUGCCUGUUUGCCAAUCGCCUGACCUCUUGCAUGUUUAUGGAUUACGUUUUGGAUCAUGUUUUGGAUUUGUCUGCCUGUCUGUCCUUCAAAUAAACAACUGUUCAUCCUGCACUUGCAUCCGUCUUAUCUCUGCUCCGUCACGAUUCGUGACAGUAAUGUGUUUUCUGAUUUGCUAACGUGUUUUGCACUUCACAACCACCAUAUUAAUGCUAUUACCACAGCCUACAAGCAGGCUAAAAAUCUAACCCCUGCAGUGAAAUGCCACUACAUGGGCAGUCCUUCGAGAUAUGCUGCCCCAGUAAAGCUACAGCUACCAUGCAUAUUCUCCAGAUUCUACAGGGUUUAUCAUUUCAAAUAAUAGACUGUUCUCUUUAAUAGGAUGUUUGUCAUGUAUUGUGGGUGCAAAUGCAGUAAAAGCUUUUAUUGAGAAGCGUGCAGACAAAUCCAAAAUGAUAGGAAAAGGCGGAAUCCAAAAACAGGCAUGGGUCAGGUGAUGUACAAACAGUAUAAACUAGGUGAGGCAAAAAAAAAAAGUGAAUAAAUAACCAGGCAAGAAGUCAAGGUUGCAAACACUGAAAACAAUACUUCGCAACAAUCAGGCACAGACUGGCCAUCAGGAGCACUGGCAGAAUUCCCAGUGGCAUGGCGACUAAUUUGGCCUGCUGCCUUGCUGUGUUUUUAUUUAAUCGUUGUUGUUGUUAAGGAUUAUUAUUGUUUUGAGGAAGCAGUGUCCCUAGAGCUGACGCUAUCUUUUCUAAAUCUCUAUGCUUUAAAUAUAAUUUUUUACUUUUAUAACAUUUGCAUAUAUCACCGAAACUAUUUUAGAUAAACAUAAUCGUAACGUUGCGCUGUUAAGUUUUCAUCGGAUCUUACAAACAUCUGCAUCUAGCUUGUAACCCGCUAGCAUCACCUUUCCACUAGCCUUGUUUACAUUUCACAUUUAUCUCAUUUACCACUGUUUAUAAAGGCAAAUAUGUCGGUUGUUUCUCCACUUUUGAGUGCAGAUGAGGACUCACUCAAACUGCACAUGAUGCUGUUGGAAUUGGAAGCCGUGGAGAAACAGAUCCGUGGCCUACUCGACAAGCAGGCCCUGUUGCACGAGUGAAGAACCGCGCUGGAAACAUCUUGUGCAACCGCCUACAAAUCUAAGGUAAGCAUGCAACGUGGUACUACCACUCCCAGCCCCUAUAUGCCAUGUGUUUCUCUGUGCAGGGAUCGUGCACCCAAGACGUAUCCAGCCCAGGUCUCCAUCACGCCGGUGCGAAACAUCACUGACCGUGGGUGCACCAGCAGCGAAUGGCGCAGGAAAGACCCUGGGUGAGGACCUCUCCCCCUCCGCCACCCCCAGUCUUCAAAAUUCCAACCAGGAAUCGCUUCGCCCCUCUCCGUGAGACCAAACCAAACACUGUGAUCAUCGGGGACAAAUUGUGCGGAACGUCCGCGUCGCUUCAUCUAAAGGUAAGGUGCGCACACACUGUUUCUCUGGUGCUCGUGUCCUUGAUGUUGCUGGGCAGGUAUCCAGAAUCCUGAAGAAGGAUGAAAGCAUUGGAGCAGUCGUGCAUGACAUCAGGCUACAUUCUGAAGAGGGACUUCGGCAGCCUGAUUGAGACGGUACACAGCAGAUUGCCCGCUACGAAGAUCAUGGUCUCUGGACCACUUCCCACAUACAGAUGUGGAGUUGAAAGCUUGUUCCAUGCUGAUGGCCUGCACCCUAGCAGCCAUGGAGCAGAACUACUGUCAGACAACAUCUCAAAGACGUACACAUCAUGUGACUACCUGCCGUGGAGAGAGUCAACCUGGCACUGGCUUUGGUGCAGUGGUCACACUUGGGUCAACCUGAGAUGACUGGUAGAGGUAAAAUAAGAGAAAUUAAAUAUGCUUGAAUAUAUUUGUACA